rnacentral:lncRNA from 10 species
AACAUGGAAUUAACAGGACUCAUGGGUGUAUCCAUAAAAGCAACUGAAUUUUUAGUCUUCUGCUGUUAAUAAUCUGUUCCAUGAGGAUAGUUCUUCCUCUUCCACAGAAUGAAACUCAGGCAGUCCUAUAACUUUUUUAUUCUCUCAGGUAAUAGAAAAUCCUGUUACUUUAAGAGGAAAAACCCUGCUCUUAAUUCAGUAAUUCAAAUCUUGUCCCCUUCCCCAACAGGGUCUCCUAUGGACAGAAGUGCGGGCAAGGAGCUUUGUUCCUCCCCGAUGUCACCCUCCCACAGCCCACUUGCUAGCAGGCAAGAGAGGGGUGGAGGCCGGCAGUAAGGCAUGUACUGAACUGGACCUCUGGUGGAAUGGGUCACCCACGCUGGGCUUGACUCUUACCAUCAGGGUCCUGCCAACCCUUCAGUGAGACUUUUUCCGAAGAAUCCCUUUUAAAAUGACCUCAAGCUGACCUUCCUGAUGCAGAUUCCACAUAUGGUAUCUGAGACUCACACAGUGUGGUUGGAAGAUAGCACAGUGACCUCCCAGGCACAGCCCUCUGCCAGCCCUCCACUGGCUGCCCUAGGAUGCUGGCCUUCCUCCGAUGGGAGUCGGGCCCAGUCUGCUGUGAGCCAGGAGAAGCCAGCAAGCUCCCUGCGAGGCCUGGAGGAGCCCUUCUCACUCAGCUUGGUGUUCGAUGCCAGUGCCCCCGCCCAUUGUGGGGUGAGGGUGGGACUCUCAGCACAGCCCUGUCCAAAUAAAUCCUCUAAAGCCCUCUUC